UAUCUCUGUAGAGUCUGCAUAUCAAUAAGCGGAGGAAAAGAAACUAACUAGGAUUCCCUUAGUAACGGCGAGUGAAGCGGGAAGAGCUCAAAUUUGAAAUCUUCAAGGUUUUACCUUGACGAAUUGUAGUUUAAAGAAGUGUUUUCUGUUGGUAGUUUUGGUAAAAGUUCUUUGGAAUAGGACAUCAUAGAGGGUGAGAAUCCCGUAUUUGACCAUUAUUUCCAGCUUUGUGAUACACUUUCAAAGAGUCGGAUUGUUUGGGAAUGCAGUCCAAAAUGGGUGGUAAAUUUCAUCUAAAGCUAAAUAUUGGCGAGAGACCGAUAGCGAACAAGUACCGUGAGGGAAAGAUGAAAAGAACUUUGAAAAGAGAGUUCAAACAGUACGUGAAAUUGUCAAAAGGGAAGCGUUUGACACCAGUGUUGUUUUCUCGAAAAUCAAUUAAAAAAGGCAGGAUUUUGUGUUGUAUUGACUUUAUCAGCUUUCUGCACUCUUUUCUUGUCUUUUUUAAUGCACUUUUCGUUUAACAAGUCAACAUCAAUUUCUUUUGUUGUAAAAGGGUCAUUGGAAGGUGGCUUUCUUUUCGGAGAAAGUGUUUAUAGCCUUUGGCCUCUGCAAUCGGAGAGAUUGAGGUCUGCAGCGUAGAUCCUUCGGGGUUAGAUACAUUUGUGCUAAGUUAUAGCCUUUCAUAGACAACUUGUUGACUAUGAUCAGUCAUGUAGCUUACUCGCUUAUGCUAUUUUACCUACGCUUAGGAUGUUGACGAUCAGCUGAGCGCG
rnacentral:rRNA from 1 species